AGAACGAACGCUGGCGGCGCGUUUAAGCAUGCAAGUCGAGCGGCAAGGGCCUUCGGGCCCCUAGAGCGGCGGACGGGUGAGUAACACGUGGACAAUCUGCCCCCCGGCCCGGGAUAGCCCAGGGAAACCUGGAUUAAUACCGGAUGAGACGGGACCCGCGAUGGCGGGACCCGGGAAAGGCGCUGCGGCGCCGCCGGGGGAUGAGUCUGCGUCCCAUUAGCUAGACGGCGGGGUAACGGCCCACCGUGGCGACGAUGGGUAGCCGGCCUGAGAGGGUGGACGGCCACAUUGGAACUGAGACACGGUCCAGACUCCUACGGGAGGCAGCAGCUAAGAAUCUUCCGCAAUGGGCGAAAGCCUGACGGAAGCGACGCCGCGUGAACGAAGAAGGCCGUGAGGUUGUAAAGUUCUUUUCGGGAGGGGGAACAACCGUGGCAGGGAAUGGCCGCGGGAUGACGUGAAUCCCGGAAUAAGCCCCGGCUAACUACGUGCCAGCCGCCGC
rnacentral:rRNA from 1 species